GUGUCAGCCGCCGCGGUAAUACGUAGGUGGCGAGCGUUGUCCGGAUUUAUUGGGCGUAAAGAGCCCGCAGGCGGUUUGUUAAGUUUCAGGUGAAAUCUCCUGGCUCAACUGGGAGGGGUCCUGGAAAACUGGCAGACUUGAGGCAGGGAGAGGGAUGUGGAAUUCCCGGUGUAGUGGUGAAAUGCGUAGAUAUCGGGAGGAACACCAGUGGCGAAGGCGGCAUCCUGGCCCUGUCCUGACGCUCAGGGGCGAAAGCGUGGGGAGCAAACCGGAUUAGAAACCCUUGUAGUCC
rnacentral:rRNA from 1 species